rnacentral:lncRNA from 1 species
CUCCGUGCCUGCAAAUGGACUUCUGCAGCAUGUUUGCAAGGACAGAUCCUCAGCUUGGGAAGGAAAUAAAUUCCCUUUUAGAAGCUCAAACUCCUCGGCGGGACCUACUGGACACUUGGCGAGCUGUGACCAAGUCCCUUUUCUGCUCCUCAUGCUUCAGCAGUGUACUCAGAACAAGCCGGCCCAUGGGCUACUUCCCUCCGUCCCUGCUUCGUGCCUCGGGAACCCCAAGGAACCCUUCGGGGCUCAACUGUUACCUUGUGAACUCCAAGGAACACUUCUGGGCUUUCUCCUGACCUCUCUGGAGAGUCACAGAGGAAGAUGCAUUUAUGUCUUUAAAACUAAGACCCUAUUUUACUGAAAGUGGGUCUUAAUUGUAUUUAAAUAAAUUGCACCUAAAUAAAUUGAAUAAAUACCUAAA